rnacentral:lncRNA from 1 species
GAUGACAAGUGGGGCAAUGGUUUCAAGUCUAUUUCGCCGAGUGGGGUUCAGGGUGGGCGAUCAACACUGCAGAAUGUUCGAAAUUGACCCCGAACCGUGGUGGCCUUAUGAUUCAUGGAAUGGAGAACCCUAUUUUAAUUGAUUGCAUGAAAACUUUUCAUAGAAGUAAUACAGGUUGUGACAGGCAUCUUAAAUUUCCCCACACCGAUGGUUCCUCCGAAACGACCUCAGUCCCCGCCCUCCCUCAGCCAAUCCUUUUCCGCAUACUUACCCAGAAAAAAGACAAGACGAGAGCCACAAAGCAAGAACAGUGUGAGACUUCGGUGUCCCAACUCCGUCCAUGGUACCUUAAAGAAUAAGUCAUGCUUUUUUCUGACCGUUGUAACCCCAC